rnacentral:rRNA from 1 species
GAUGAACGCUGGCGGCGUGCCUAAUACAUGCAAGUCGAGCGAACAGAUGAGGAGCUUGCUCCUCUGACGUUAGCGGCGGAUGGGUGAGUAACACGUGGAUAACCUACCUAUAAGACUGGGAUAACUUCGGGAAACCGGAGCUAAUACCGGAUAAUAUAUUGAACCGCAUGGUUCAAUAGUGAAAGACGGUUUUGCUGUCACUUAUAGAUGGAUCCGCGCCGCAUUAGCUAGUUGGUAAGGUAACGGCUUACCAAGGCAACGAUGCGUAGCCGACCUGAGAGGGUGAUCGGCCACACUGGAACUGAGACACGGUCCAGACUCCUACGGGAGGCAGCAGUAGGGAAUCUUCCGCAAUGGGCGAAAGCCUGACGGAGCAACGCCGCGUGAGUGAUGAAGGUCUUCGGAUCGUAAAACUCUGUUAUUGGGGAAGAACAAAUGUGUAAGUAACUAUGCACGUCUUGACGGUACCUAAUCAGAAAGCCACGGCUAACUACGUG